UACGUAGGGUGCAAGCGUUAAUCGGAAUUACUGGGCGUAAAGCGUGCGCAGGCGGUUUUGUAAGACAGAUGUGAAAUGCCCGGGCUUAACCUGGGAAUGGCAUUUGGGACUGCAAGGCUGGAGUGUGGCAGAGGAGACUGGAAUUCCCGGUGUAGCAGUGAAAUGCGUAGAUAUCGGGAGGAAUACCGAUGGCGAAGGCAGGUCUCUGGGCUGACACUGACGCUCAUGCACGAAAGCGUGGGGAGCAAACAGG
rnacentral:rRNA from 1 species